AUGGGAGCUGCAGGAAGUUCUUCUCUGCUGCUGCCUUCACUUCUGCUCUGCUCACUUCUGCUUGACUUCUCUCUCGCCUUUUCUCUCAAGAACUGCACAGUAGUCUACUUAGCUGCUAAUGCUAAUGAUGUGGACGUGGACUGCUUGAACCGAGACCUGGCCAUCAUCCCAGACGACAUUCCCAGGAAUGCUAGGAUCCUGGAGCUGUCUGAGAAUGGAAUAAUGAGGAUCUCCAAGGUGGAUUUACGAGGCCUAUCAAAGCUCAAAAGUCUUAAGCUUAGCUUUAAUCUCAUCUCUCACGUGGAUGACGGAGCUUUUAUUGACUUGACAGAGUUGACGAAUCUCAACCUGUGCAAAAACAAACUGGAAGAGCUGACAGACGAGAUGUUUCUGGGUCUGUCUGGACUCAUCAAACUGCAGCUGUCAUUCAACCACAUCUCCUUCAUCUCUGCCGGAGCCUUUGAGCCUCUGCUCGCUGUACAACUCAUUGAGCUGAACGUCAACCGCCUGCAACAAAUCACCGAUGUCAUUCCAGCCCUUAAACUCACAACCUUGGAAUCUUUGGAACUCUGUCAGAAUAGGAUACUGUCUUUGCAAUCAGAUAACCUGCCUGCCUCGAACCUCAAGUCUCUGAACCUGAACGGUAACCCUCUGACCAAGUUCAGCCUCAGAGAAGACAUCCUCCCUCAGCUGCGGAACCUGAGCUUUGACGAAUGCACCGAGGACAUGGAGUGGGACGUAGCCAGCAAGACUUUUCUGAGGAGUCUGACACGGUUGUUUGUUGGAGGAACUAACAUUAACUUGACCUCUUACAUGGAAAUGUUACGGACUGCUGGCUCACUGCGAGAACUUGAGAUGUCUUCUAUGGAUACGGGGGUAAUAGACAGCCUCGUUGACACUGCCUGUCAAAUGUUUUCACUGAGAAGUCUUCUUAUAAGAGACAAUGAAAUAGAAAGCUUAGGAGACCUCCUGUUGAAGUCCUGCUCUGGCCUCACUGAGGCCAAUUUGACCUCUAAUGGCUUUGUCAGGAUGUCCAAACAUGCCUUCAGGUCCACCAAAAUCCUCACAGUUCUGUCACUACGAACCAACAAGCUGUCCAAACUGUCACUGGCUCUCCAGGUGCUGCCGAUGCUGGAAUACCUCGAUUUAAGCGAGAACAUCAUCAGUGAGCUGGACUGUCUGGACUUCCGAGAUCUGACCAGGCUGAAGAGCCUGAAUCUGAUGUCCAAUCGCAUCUCCGUCCUCCAGGGAUGUGUCUUUGAGAACCUGAUGGACUUGGAAGACCUGAAUAUUGGAGAAAAUGAGGUCAUUGAUUUUGGGGGCGCUUUCACUUUACCAUAUUUUGGGAAACUAAAGUCACUGAAUCUGCAUAAUAAUCACCUGGACGAACUUCAGCAAGGAGCCUUCAGUAGUCUGUCUUCUCUCAGAGAUCUGGAUCUAGAGUCGGACAGGAACUAUGCUGUGGAAUUGAACGUUUUUGAAGGACUUGAUGAUCUUGAAAGUCUGAGUGUGUCUCUGAUUGAGAAUGACAGAGAAUCUUUCGCUGGACUGCCACGUUUGAAAACUCUGAGUGUAUUUUUUAGCUUAAAGGUCGUACUGAGGAGCUUCAAACCAUUCGACAUCCUGCUGUUUUCAAGCCUGGCCAACCUGACAACUCUCAUUCUGAAAACGGAUCCGUUGUUUUUGGUUCCUAUUACAGCAGAUGUGCUGAGUGGACUGAAAUCUUUGGAACGACUCAUGACGGAGAACUUCUUCACAAACCCUUUACACCCAGACACUUUUAAGUACACCCCUCGACUGAGAAGUCUUCAGAUAAUUUACAGUAAUCUGUUACAACUGUCUCCGGAAGUCUUCUGGCCUCUCACAAACCUGGAGGAACUGGACCUCUCCAACAAUAACCUCAGGUCUUUGGACUUCCUAGCUGAAGCUAAGCUAUCAGCACUUAAGUUUCUGAAACUGAGUGAAAAUGAGGUGUCAAUCAUCAACGAGACCAUCUUCCUGUCCCUCCCUGCCCUGACUUACCUGGACCUGUCAGAGAACCCCCUGACAUGUGAGUGCUCCAAUUCUGGGUUCGUCCGCUGGGCCACAAGCAACAACCAGACACAGGUAGCUAAUGGCUACCGCUACAUUUGUGCUUUUCCCGUCAGCCAGCGAGAAGAACGGCUUCUGGACUUUGAUGUGCGCUCAUGUUGGAUGGAUGUGAGCUUCCUCUGCUUCGUCUCCUCUGCUGCUCUCGUCCUGUUGGUCCUCCUGUCUUCCUUCAUUCACCACUUCCUGAGGUUUCACCUCAUCUAUGCCUACUACCUCUUCUUGGCUUUCCUCUACGACAACAAGAGGAGGAAGGGCGACGUCGGCUGCCAGUAUGACGCCUUCGUCUCCUACAAUGUGUGUGACGAGGCCUGGGUCUACGAAGUGCUGGUUCCAGAACUGGAGGGACAGCAGGGCUGGAAGCUCUGUCUGCACCACAGAGACUUUGAACCAGGCAGGCCCAUCAUACAAAACAUCACAGACGCCAUCUACAGCAGCAGGAAGACGAUCUGUGUGAUCAGCCGCCACUACCUGCAGAGCGAGUGGUGUUCCAGAGAGAUCCAGAUGGCCAGCUACCGUCUGUUCGACGAGCACAGAGACGUGCUGAUCCUGCUGUUCGUGGAGGACGUCCCAGCCCACCGCCUCACUGCGUACCACCGCAUGAGGAGUGUGGUCAAGAGGCGGUCCUACCUGAGCUGGCCGCGGGCCGCUGGGCACCCCGCCGUCUUCUGGCAGAACGUACGGCGAGCUCUGGGGACGGACCGGGACCCCCGGGAUCAGAGUGACCUUUUGGGUGGACCCUAGUCCUUCAGCCACUCAGCAGUGUCCCGGUACAGUAGGAAGAACUGAACCCAGACCUACUGGAUCAGCAGUUUGAACAUGUCUUCACAUCCAGACAGCCGAGCUGUCAGUACAGUAGAGGGCAGUAGAGGACAGUAGAGGACAGUAGAGGACAGUAGAAGAGGGUUGGGGUCAGUAGAGGACAGUAGAGAGCAGUAGAGGACAGUAGAGGGCAGUAGAGGACAGUAGGGUGCAGUAGAGGGCAGUAGGGGGCAACAGAGGGCAGUAGAGGACAGUAGAAGAGGGUUGGGGCAGUAGAGGACAGUAGAGGUCAGUAGAGGACAGUAGGGUGCAGUAGAGGUCAGUAGAGGACAGUAGAGGACAGUAGAGGACAGUAGAGGUCAGUAGAGGGCAGUAGAAGAGGGUUGGGUCAGUAGAGGACAGUAGAGGUCAGUAGAGGACAGUAGAGGACAGUAGAGGACAGUAGAGGUCAGUAGAGGGCAGUAGAAGAGGGUUGGGUCAGUAGAGGACAGUAGAGGUCAGUAGAGGACAGUAGAGGACAGUAGAGGUCAGUAGAGGACAGUAGGGGACAGUAGAGGACAGUAGGGUGCAGUAGAGGGCAGUAGGGGGCAACAGAGGGCAGUAGAGGACAGUAGAAGAGGGUUGGGGUCAGUAGAGGACAGUAG